rfam:Neotoma lepida isolate 417 scaffold_337, whole genome shotgun sequence.
UCAAAGGCCUUGUUCAAGGCCACCCCAAACUAGAAUGAACUGGAACU